ACAACAUUCGGACCGUCGGUCUACCGAGCAAUAUCACCCGCUCGGUGGAAGAUCUUCUCUUUAUGAU
rnacentral:pre_miRNA from 1 species